UACGGAGGGGGCCAGCGUUGUUCGGAAUCAUUGGGCGUAAAGGGCGCGUAGGCGGCCACGCAAGUCGGAUGUGAAAUCCCUCGGCUCAACCGAGGAACUGCACCCGAAACUGCGAGGCUCGAGUCCUGGAGAGGGUAGUGGAAUUCCCAGUGUAGCGGUGAAAUGCGUAGAUACUGGGAGGAACACCGGUGGCGAAGGCGGCUACCUGGACAGGUACUGACGCUGAUGCGCGAAAGCCAGGGGAGCAAACAGG
rnacentral:rRNA from 1 species